rnacentral:snoRNA from 1 species
UUCGAUGAUGAUAAUAUGUUACAUGUUGCUUGAAGACAGUCCGAUGGGCUGGCACUGUGGGCACAAUGAUUUCUCAAUAGACUACAACGGUAUCUGAGU